UGGGGAAUUUUGGACAAUGGGCGAAAGCCUGAUCCAGCAAUGCCGCGUGUGUGAAGAAGGCCUUCGGGUUGUAAAGCACUUUUGUCCGGAAAGAAAUCCUUGGCUCUAAUACAGUCGGGGGAUGACGGUACCGGAAGAAUAAGCACCGGCUAACUACGUGCCAGCAGCCGCGGUAAUACGUAGGGUGCAAGCGUUAAUCGGAAUUACUGGGCGUAAAGCGUGCGCAGGCGGUUUGCUAAGACCGAUGUGAAAUCCCCGGGCUCAACCUGGGAACUGCAUUGGUGACUGGCAGGCUAGAGUAUGGCAGAGGGGGGUAGAAUUCCACGUGUAGCAGUGAAAUGCGUAGAGAUGUGGAGGAAUACCGAUGGCGAAGGCAGCCCCCUGGGCCAAAUACUGACGCUCAUGCACGAAAAGCGUGGGGAGCAAAACAGGAUUAGAUACCCUGGUAGUCCACGCCCUAAAACGAUGUCAACUAGUUGUUGGGGAUUCAUUUCCUUAGUAACGUAGCUAAACGCGUGAAGUUGACCGCCUGGGGAGUACGGUCGCAAGAUUAAAAACUCAAAUGAAUUGACGGGGUCAUAGCUGUUUCCU
rnacentral:rRNA from 1 species